AACGUAGGUCCCGAGCGUUAUCCGGAUUUACUGGGCGUAAAGCGCGUUCAGGCGGUCGGCUCAGUCGGGCAUGAAAUCUCUCGGCUCAACCGGGAGAGGUUGUCCGAUACUGGUCGACUUGAGGGCAGUAGAGGGUGGUGGAAUUCCGGGUGUAGUGGUGAAAUGCGUAGAGAUCCGGAGGAACACCAGUGGCGAAGGCGGCCACCUGGACUGCCCCUGACGCUGACACGCGAAAGCUAGGGGAGCGAACGGG
rnacentral:rRNA from 1 species